AUCUUGCUUUUAGAUUUCGUCAUGCAAAACGACGGCAGACCUCCAGAGGCUGCAGACAGAGCUGGGCGACUGGAUCUGUGAAUGUGGUUUUCUUGGAAUAUACAGACAUGACAUUUCUGUCCAAGAUGUAGCAAAGAUUUACUCCUUUGCAGUUCGACACUACAUAUAUCUAAGAACAUCAAAUAUGAUUCAUCAGUUCACAAAGGGACUGAAUGCUUAUGGACAGUUCUGGGAUAUGGUAAGAACUCACUGGGUUGAGUUUCUACCCAUCUUUACCAACAUGCAUGAGCCCCUUUCCAGAAGCACAUUUAGAGACCUGUUCCAAAUCCACUGGAGUAAAUCAGGGACCAAGAAGAGGGAGGCUGAGGAGGAGACUAUACACUACUGGGAACUGGUGCUUAAGAUGAUUGAAGAUAAAAAACCAAAAGCUCCAGAAAACGAGUUGCAUUUUGAGGAAAUUUUGGCUUUCAUAACUGGAGCGGAUGAAGUCCCACCACUUGGGUUCUCCCAGAAGCCCAGCAUUCACUUCUACCAGCCAGAGCAGCGUGGAUGCCGUCUACCAUAUGCCAACGCAUGCAUGAUGGGAUUGUUCCUGCCCAGGGUUGUAAAAGAUGAAGUGGAACUUUACAGGAUGCUCCUGAGAGCAAUCAGAGACUCAGCUGUUUUUGGGAGAACAUAAACAUAUAUAUAAUUCUUCAUUAUAAUGGACAUGGUCACAUACAUAAUAUAUAGUUACAUAUAUUUAUAAGCUUUAUUUCAUAAUUUAUUAUAAUAUUUCAUUACAUAAGAAGAAAGCAUGCACUUACUUUCAGGUAUUUGUAUAUUCUGUAUAUUUUUGACAAAGAUGCCAGAUACAUUUUUAUAUUUGAAAAAAAAAAAACGUAUUAUUAUUAUUAUUAUUACUGUUUUCGUACAACUGUCAGUCAUGUCUCGAAUAAACUGUGAAAGAAACAAACGGUGUGUUUCUCCGGUUUGGUUGGG
rnacentral:lncRNA from 1 species